GUGAGGCAGAGAAUGAAGUUGGCUCUCAGACCUCUACUGGAGUUGCAGUUCCUACAGAAGUCUUUCAUUUUCCCUGAGAAGUGGCUGACAUCAUCACCAUAAUCAUCAUUCUUGCUGUCCUGCUGUUACUUGGAAUUGUGUAUAUGAGUAGACGUGAAGGAACUGAGAGAAACCUCGGAAUGAACCAAAAGGCUGUCUAUUCUGAUGCCCGUGAUGAGACAUACACCGCUCUCAACCCCAGGAGCACAUCCUCUGAGUAUGACACUCUCCAGAUUGUGAGGAAUGUGAGUGACACCUACAUGCCUCUCCAGAGAAGAGCUCAGGCCUCAGUGUAUGAGACUCUGCAGAGAAGAGAGACGCCCCAGUCAGAGAUGGAGCUGAAGGAUCUCGGGAUGAGAUGCCAAGACCAACCAUGACUUCUGGACCAGGGGCUGUUUGUCCAUAUGGGCGAUUUGGGCGACGCACUGCAAAACGGGAUUCUACCACUGCUACAGUGGUUAUGAGUGUACUUCACCGUCUGAUCGGCCUCUGAAUGUCAUUAUCCAAUCAGGCUAAAGUCGUGCUUCAAAUGGUCCCGCCUCUUUUGGGGCGAUUUCAGCCAAGUUGAAAAUUGCCCCAGACGUCUCUCAUAGACAGUGGUAUAUAGAACACAUAGAGAUUGCAUUGAAAGAAAUUAAUGUUUUACAGGGGGG
ensembl:lncRNA